AUUGAACGCUGGCGGCAGGCCUAACACAUGCAAGUCGAACGAGUGGCGGACGGGUGAGUAAUGUCUGGGAAAAUGCAUGAUGGAGGGGGAUAACUACUGGAAACGGUAGCUAAUACCGCAUACAAUCAGAUGGGCACAGAUGGGAUUAGCUAGUUGGAGGGGUAACGGCUCACCAAGGCGACGAUCCCUAGCUGGUCUGAGAGGAUGACCAGCCACACUGGAACUGAGACACGGUCCAGACUCCUACGGGAGGCAGCAGUGGGGAAUAUUGGACAAUGGGCGCAAGCCUGAUGCAGCCAUGCCGCGUGUAUGAAGGAGGCCUUCGGGUUGUAAAGUACUUUCAGCGGGGAGGCGUUACCCACAGAAGAAGCAACGGCUAACUCCGUGCAAGCAGCCGCGGUAAUUC
rnacentral:rRNA from 1 species